GAGCGAAGCGACGUCAAAGCGUAUACAAAGUCGAGUCGGUUUAAGGAUACGUUCGUUGGGUAGGGGAGCGUUCUGUAAGCCUGCGAAGGUGGCCUGUGAGGGUUGCUGGAGGUAUCAGAAGUGCGAAUGCUGACAUAAGUAACGAUAAAGCGGGUGAAAAGCCCGCUCGCCGGAAGACCAAGGGUUCCUGUCCAACGUUAAUCGGGGCAGGGUGAGUCGACCCCUAAGGCGAGGCCGAAAGGCGUAGUCGAUGGGAAACGGGUUAAUAUUCCCGUACUUGGUGUUACUGCGAAGGGGGGACGGAGAAGGCUAUGUUGGCCGGGCGACGGUUGUCCCGGUUUAAGCGUGUAGGUGUGUGUUCCAGGUAAAUCCGGUUCACUUUAACACUGAGGCGUGACGACGAGGCACUACGGUGCUGAAGCAACAAAUGCCCUGCUUCCAGGAAAAGCCUCUAAGCAUCAGGUAACAUCAAAUCGUACCCCAAACCGACACAGGUGGUCAGGUAGAGAAUACCAAGGCGCUUGAGAGAACUCGGGUGAAGGAACUAGGCAAAAUGGUGCCGUAACUUCGGGAGAAGGCACGCUGACACGUAGGUGAAGUGAUUUACUCAUGGAGCUGAAGUCAGUCGAAGAUACCAGCUGGCUGCAACUGUUUAUUAAAAACACAGCACUGUGCAAACACGAAAGUGGACGUAUACGGUGUGACGCCUGCCCGGUGCCGGAAGGUUAAUUGAUGGGGUCAGCGCAAGCGAAGCUCCUGAUCGAAGCCCCGGUAAACGGCGGCCGUAACUAUAACGGUCCUAAGGUAGCGAAAUUCCUUGUCGGGUAAGUUCCGACCUGCACGAAUGGCGUAAUGAUGGCCAGGCUGUCUCCACCCGAGACUCAGUGAAAUUGAACUCGCUGUGAAGAUGCAGUGUACCCGCGGCAAGACGGAAAGACCCCGUGAACCUUUACUAUAGCUUGACACUGAACAUUGAGCCUUGAUGUGUAGGAUAGGUGGGAGGCUUUGAAGUGUGGACGCCAGUCUGCAUGGAGCCGACCUUGAAAUACCACCCUUUAAUGUUU
rnacentral:rRNA from 1 species